AAUACUUCAAAUGACAAGAAGCAAAAAUCUGUUACAUCAACACACAUACAACAUUUCAUUCAAAAACAGAGAGAAGAUACAUGAAAUUCUGGAGUUCACAAUGCCCAAAUAACCUAGCUAUCAUUACAUAACUUGCUAUACAAAAAUGUCUUGGCGCUUCUUUGAACAUCUUCUUUCGUCUUGAAUUUAGGCAAAAUAUCUGCCAACAAGAAAACAGAACAUCGAGGAUAUAGUGAAUAACAACAGCAGCAAGUGAUGGGGUGCAUGAAAAUUAAGAAGAGCAUUACAGCAGCAGUUCAAGUUAACACAAUAGAUGGACAGUACAACAGCAUUACAGGCAGUCAAAUAGUUCAGGGACAGCAAAAAUGCAUGCAUACAGACAGUCAAACAGUUCAGGGAACAGCAAACUGUCCAUCAAUUGUGUUAACUUGCAAACAGUUCAGGGAACAUGCAAACAGUUCAGGGAACAUGCAUGCAAUGGAAGUACGCACUAGUAGUUCAGGGAACUUGCAAACAGUUCAGGGAACAUGCAUGCAAUGCAAACAGUUCAGGGAACUUUCAAACAGUUCAAGAAACAUGCAAACAGUUCAGGGAAUAAUCAAAUAAUAAUGCCAGGUUGUGCAAUAUUACACACAGUGCCCAUGCUUUGCCCACAGCCUUGUGCGGUAGCAGCAAUGGUAGAAGACUGAGCCUAGCGCCAACGUCCCCAAGCCCUGCAGCACAUACAUGAGAAUUACACACAGUGCCUGGGGUCUGGUAAGGUAGAAAUAACACAAUGCAAUAGUACAGGCCAUCAUGGUCUGGUAAGGUAAAAAUAACACAGUAACUCUCUCGUAAGUUUUAUUGGACCAAUUGUUUUUCUCUUAUGUAGAUCCAAAAUCCUAGGGUGGGCCGUUCAUAGGUAUAUAAGUAGAUGCAAUAAAUACAUGCCAAAUUGGGCAACAAAUGAAAAUGAAUAGAUGGAAAAUGCAUGUCACAUACUCCUAGAUUCAAACAAUUGACAUUACUCAGGACUAGUAGAAAGAGAUUACAGGAAACAUGCAAACGGUUCAUGGAAUAUUGUGUUAACUUGCAAACAGCAAAUAGUUCAAGGAACAUGCAUGCAAUGGAAGUACGUACUAGUAGUUGUACAACACAAUGCCAGGUUGGAGAAAAUCAUGCUUAAGCAAACAAUGGCAGCGGCAUGGCAUAAUCAAAUAAUAAUGUGAGAAAACAACUUGAUAUGAUUCACACUUGAUCACAGCAAAGAAUGUGCUAGUAGUGUGCACUCACAAAAGAAUGAAUGAAUCGACAUUGAUUUGCUGCACUGCACCAUCCAAGGGGAGCAGACUUCUUCAACGCAU
rnacentral:lncRNA from 1 species